UCACAAAAAUCAAAUCAAAUCAAAAUCACACUAAUCAUAACAAUAACAUUGGUUAGAAAAAGUGUCAUUAGUUAUUUUUUCUAAAUUGUUCAGCUCCGGUGUACAAUGAUGUAAUAAAUACAAUAAUGUUUUUUUUAUUUGCACAAGCAAUACUUUCAGAUUCAACUUCAGUGAAGAGUUAAGAUUUCCGGGGAAACUGCAACUGAAGACAAACAGAUACCAGUCUUCAGAAACAAAGCACAUACCAUCGCUGCAGCCAAACAAACAGAAAAAUGAAGAUUUCUCAUGGAGUCAUAAUCCUGUGUGUACUGGCAGCAUUCACACCGAUCUGUGAAUCAGCUCAUCAACAGCUCAAUUCAAUGAAUGACCUGAUGACUGUCAUUUUUGGAGGAUUUGUGCCCAGACAAAGCCGCCUGCUGCUGCACUGGUUCGCAACCCAAAUUAACUUUGAUCAGUAUGGUCAGGCUACACUGACCUUUAAUCCAACAGAAGAUUUUGGUUCUCAUCACUAUGGCAACUUUGAACACUUGCUGGACCCACCACCUAGGGGGUAUGCAUACUAUACAGUGGGCAAUCUUAACCAAGACUUUCCACAUUAUGUCCGCCAGCCCCCACAAAGGGACAAUGAUGGAGAAAACCGGGUCCGCAUUGUAUUCAGUGCUCAGAGGGUCAACAACAACUACAGGAUACAUAGAGUGUUUCUCACACAGCAUGACAGACUGUUAGCACCAAACUACGAUCGAACUCACACCUACGAAAUAUCCACCAGCCUACUACGGAACAUCAGAUCUUCGCCAUCAGACACAUUUGUCAGCAGUACACUCCAAAGUAGAGUCACACAAACAGGAAAUGGUAGUGAUUGGUCCUCUUGUUUUGUGUUCACAAUUCUUUUCUUGGCAGUUAUCUUCAUUAUAAGCUUUCUUUCCGCUAUAAAAUAAGGUAAUAUAUACUGUCAUGUAUCCAUAUUUGAUAAAUGGUUUGAGUAGAAAAAUGUAAAUAAAACAUGAAUGUACUAUAAUAUAUAUAUUUUUUCCUAAUCAGUAUGCAAUAUGGGCAUUCAGUGAUAAUUAUUAGAGCAGAAAUAACGGCCCAGGAGGUGUGGUGCUUAGAGACAUGUAAUGAGGAAACCCUGUAAAGACUGGAGCCGAGCUGGAGCCAACCAUCUUUACAUUUACAACAAAUAUGCUCAGGAACAUCUUUUCUGCUAGCCUCUGCCAGAUUGUUUUAAAUCUUAAAAAAAGACCAUGCUUGCUCUUUUUACAAUACUUUGUUUGGAUACAAACAUACAUGAUUUUGUGUUGUACAAUAAAAAAUGGUUCUGAUGUUGGAUUGAUUGCUUCUACUUCAUUAAAAUGUGUAAAUGAAUGACAUUAAAAACCUAAUAUAUUUCAUGAGUAAAA